rnacentral:tRNA from 1 species
GCCUUCGUGGCGUAGUGGUUAAACGCUAUGGAGCCCUGCCUUGGUGCAGCAGGGAGCCGGUUCGAACCCGGCCGGAGGCA